AAGCAAAAGAAAUAAAACAAACACACAACAAUUUUGAGAUGUCUCCGUUGCCGUUGAAUGCUGAGCAAGUAUUGCAACAUUUUACCCAUAUCCACCCUUUAACGAAAGUUGACGGGGUUGGCACGUACAUAUGCGAUGGCUGUAAAACCUACGGCUCUGGGAGGACCUACCGUUGCGCCGCUUGCAACUACGAUCUUCACGAGUUCUGUGCCAUAUGUCCCCCUACACUCCUCAGCACUCUACAUCCACACCACGAGCUCAGGUUAGUACACCAGGAUAGACGUGCAUGCGACAUCUGCAAAGAAUCAAUCAACGGGCUGUUUUACCAAUGCAAGACCUGCGGCUUCGACGUCCAUCCACUCUGCACGUAGCUGCCUAAGGAAGUGAUCCACAAUCACGGAUAUACAAAACAAGUUCAGGUUCGAGAAUCCCAUACGGGUUCGACUAGUAAAACGGUUCGGGUAAUGGUUCUAGGCGCUGGUGUUGCUUGGCUUUGCAUGACAGGGGAUGUCUCUGGGGUCGUUUCUGCCUUCCUUUGAAAUGGCAUGUUUCUGACAUCCUGCCCCAUCAUGUGCAUAUUCCUUAUUCAAUAUAAGUUUUGUGCUCUACUGUUUUAUACAAAAUCUAUUUAAAAUUUUAAAGCAAAAAUAGCUAAAAAAAAACUGUUAUUUGUUUAUUCCGUUUUGCCAUGAGAAGUGUGAGUAAAAAAAGGUUGUGUAUUUUAAAGUUGUGAAUUUUGAGAGUUUUUAGUUAUUUUAAAUUGUAUUACCGAAGUUUCUUAGUUAAAUAAAAAAUAAAAAACUCAAAAUUUCAUAGUGCCAGAUUAAAUCCUAGAGUAGUUUAACUAAAUCCAUAGCAAAAUCCCAUUUCAUUUAAAGUCAUCAAUGAACUUAACAAAAAUCAAAUCAUUUCAAUUUUUCUUUUAAACUCUAUAUUUAGUGAAUCGCGUAAAAUAAGAUAGUUAUAAGAAAAUAAUGAAAUUUUUGUCAAAUAAAUAUAAACUAUCAAAAGUAAUCAUUCACUAACUAUCAUAUAGAUACACUAAACUUUAGUCCUUCCGUUCCCGAAAGUAAAAUUUUCUAGGGCUUAUUCUUGUUCCACAAAAAUAGAUUUUCAAUAUUUUUAAGGUACUUUUGUAUACUUUUGAAAAAAUAUUAAUUGUGAAUAUUUGAAUUGAUUAAAUUUUAUUGGUGGAUAGUUAUUGGAAAGUGUAUUGAAAACUAAAUUGUAAAUUAAAUUGCAAAUAUUUAUUAUAUUCUUAAUAAACGUGAAAACUCUAGAAAAUCUUACUUUCGGAAACGGAGGGAGUAUAAUUUUAUAUUUUGUUUAUAAAAUAAAUAAAUAUGAUCUUUCGCUAUAUAUAUAUUAAAAGUUAAUUCAUUUGAACGUUUGAGUAAAUUCAAGAGACGAUAAAACAUUAAUCAUGGGUUGAUAAGGAAGCCCAAUUCGAGGCAUGUCAUGAAAAGGCUUAUCAGUGACAGACGUUAUGCUUUCUGGUUCAGGAAAGUGACCGUAAUACUAAUGUAGUAAAGCUUGUUCUCAAACAACACGCUAAGCUAUAUAUUGUUUACAUCCAAUCUAACCCAAACCUAAACAAUCGAAAGAAAGAACAGCAAAUAAUUUUAUUAAUAAUAUAUGGUUGUUCUUCGUGUAAAUUUGUUUCUAUCCAAUGUGCAAAUUGACUAAAAUUUAUAUAUAAAAAGUAUCAAUCUUAAAUAUACACAAAAAUCAUUGGUAGGAAAAUGUAACGCAACAAAAAAAGGCCAAAAUGACCAUAAUAUUGCCGGUCAACUAGCCAACUCAACUAAACUAAUCUGUUGCGUUCUCAUAAUAUGUAAUGAGUGAGUUGAACUAUAAAAAAAAAAUUUCUCAACUAAAUUUUGUUAAAUAUUUUAAUACUUAAUAUAUUCUUUCCUAUCUUGUCAUCAAUAAUUAUUUUUUCCAUUUAGUACACUAAUAUUUAAAACCGUCUUCUUCUUAACACUCAAACAGUAAUAUAAAAGUUGAGACAAUAAUUAUUUUUUUCCCGAAAACUUUAAAAGCAAAUCUUAUAAUUUAAACUUUUAUUUUAAAAUAAAAGUAACAAAUAUUUGGAUAAAAAACUAAAUUUAUAAAAAAAUUCUUUUGAUAAAGAUAAACUGGUUUAAAUUUUGGAAAACAAAUUAAAGUUGGUAUAAAAAUAAAAUUACAAUUAUAAUGUUUAUUGUUUUCCACAAUUUAGUUACUUUUAUUAUAGUUGCUUAAAAUAAAAUUAUUAAUUUUACAGACUAUGUUUUUGUGUGUGUUGACACUUUUAAAUAUAUCUUUUGAACUUGAUAACAAUUUAUUUAAAUUAAAAUGAGCACAUUUAGAUUUUAAAAUGAGAACAAAAUUUGAAAUUAUUUUAUUAAAUGAAAAGAAUAAUUACUUAUAAUGUUAAAAUGAGUUAGCAAAAUUUAAUUAUUAACAAGUUCACAAAAUUUAGUUGAGAUGUUUUCAUGGAAAUUUCCCAUCAAGUUAAUAUGUUUAGAGAACAAGUUAACAAAAUUCUAUAUUGUUGAGAUUGUUUUGUUGAUCAUUUUACGAUUUUUAUGCAUAUGAUUUCCAUUUUAUAAAAAAAUUAUCCAACGACUAGACAAAUAUUCAGUCAACUCCUCCACUCUACCACACAUUAAAUAUAAGUUAUUAUAAAUAUAUGUAGAGAUGGACAAAAAUGUUUUAUUGUUGGUUACACGACUCAACGAAAGCUAUGUUAGUUGUCUCCAACACAAUGUUUGAGUUGGUCAAAGAAGUAUUCCUUUGACUAUUUUAAAAUUUUAUUUUGUUGAUUUGUGAUAUAUCGGAAGCUUCUAGGGAUAGAACUAGAUUUGUUGAUUCUAAGAAUACCAGAAAACUAGAAUUUGUGAAUACUCUUCACAGUGCUUAAUCAAAAUUUUUUUUGGGUUUGAGAAUACUCUUAUCAGUGGUUUAUAAAAACCUCUUCAAGAAAACUCAUUUUAUUAAUUAAAUCAUAAUCUGAAUACAAACUUAAGCCUAAACGGCUAUAUAUAAGAAAACCAUAAAACCCUAAAAGAAUAAAAAUAAUUAUCUAAAAUAAUUAACAAAUUAAAUGAUAAGAUAUUUAGAAAUAUUCCAAAUAUCUAUCUACAUCAAUUUGUAAAUCUACUCUUAGCUUAAUGAUCAUUUAACAAUGGCGAUGAGUGAACGAUCGACUGAAAUUUUUUUAAAAGCUGUAAUACCCGUGCCCUAGCUACCUGUCAACACGACUGUUAAUGACAACGUCCAUCAUUCAUGUUUGCUUGCUUUGUUUCCUUGCAAAAGUAAAUAAUUCUACAGAGAAUAUUACGUGGUGAGCACAAAACUCUACAUUGAACUGAAGAAAUUUAAAAAUAUUUCAAACAUGAGUACACAAGAGUUGAUUAACGAGAAGUAAACUUAAUUUCUUGUGCACCUGUGCAGUAUCAACAGAUAUAAUUAAUAUGCAGAAAAAAAGUUGUUAUGACCUAUAGAAAACAUUUAAAUAAACGAAAUGUCUAUAUUUUUUUUGUUAAAGAACGAAAUGUCUAUAUAUGAGUCAAAUAUGAAUCAAAUGGCAGGAACGGACGGGUAGCAAGUCAUUGUGCCCAACCCUACAGGUGGUAAGUAUACAAACAUGCCUUUGCCUGUCUAUUUGAUCUCAUACUUUCCUCGUCAUUUUCUUCCGAGGUUUCCAACUCUCUACUAUUCUUUACACGUUUUGGUAAGUCUCUGGUUUGGACCAUAUGUUUCCACUCAUUUCCAAUUUCUUUUUUUCUUCAUUCCAGUGACUUACCACUUGAUCACUUAACAUUUUCCUAGAAACUUCGUAUCCUGUUAUAUAUAUCACUGUUAUUUCUCUCAAGUCCUACCAUUCUCAAGAAGCAAAAGAAAUAAAACAAACACACAACAAUUUUGAGAUGUCUCCGUUGCCGUUGAAUGCUGAGCAAGUAUUGCAACAUUUUACCCAUAUCCACCCUUUAACGAAAGUUGACGGGGUUGGCACGUACAUAUGCUAUGGCUGUAAAACCUACGGCUCUGGGAGGACCUACCGUUGCGCCGCUUGCAACUACGAUCUUCACGAGUUCUGUGCCAAAUGUCCCCCUACAGUCCUCAGCACUCUACAUCCACACCACGAGCUCAGGUUAGUACACCAGGAUAGACGUGCAUGCGACAUCUGCAAAGAAUCAAUCAACGGGCUGUUUUACCAAUGCAAGACCUGCGGCUUCGACGUCCAUCCACUCUGCACGCAGCUGCCUAAGGAAGUGAUCCACAAUCACGGAUAUACAAAACAAGUUCAGGUUCGAGAAUCCCAUACGGGUUCGACUAGUAAAACGGUUCGGGUAAUGGUUCUAGGCGCUGGUGUUGCUUGGCUUUGCAUGACAGGGGAUGUCUCUGGGGUCGUUUCUGCCUUCCUUUGAAAUGGCAUGUUUCUGACAUCCUGCCCCAUCAUGUGCAUGUUCCUUAUUCAAUAUAAGUUUUGUACUCUACUGUUUUAUACAAAAUCUUUUUAAAAAUUUUAAAGCAAAAAUAGCUAAAAAAAAGAACUGUUAUUUGUUUAUUCCGUUUUCCCAUGAGAAGUGUGAGUAAAAAAAAGGUUGUGUAUUUUAAAGUUGUGAAUUUUGAGAGUUUUUAGUUAUUUUAAAUUGUAUUACCAAAGUUACUUAGUUAAAUAAAAAACUCAAAAUUUUGAUAGUGUCAAAUUAAUUCCUAGAGUAGUUUAACAAAAACCACAAUAAAAUCUCAUUUCAUUUAAAGUCAUCAAUAAACUUAACAAAAAUCAAAUCAUUUCAAUUUUCUUUUAACGGUACCAUUCUUUUAAAUUCUAUAUUAAGUGAAUCGCGUAAAAAUAAGGUAGUUAUAAAAAAAGAAAUUUUUGUCAAAUAAAUAUAAACUACAAAAGUAAUCAUUCACUAACAAUCAUAUAGAUACACUAAACAUUAUAAUUUUAUAUUUUGUUUAAAAAACAAAUAAAUAUGUUCGUUCAUUAGAUAUAUUGAAAGCUAAUUCGUUUGAACAUUUGAGAAAAGUCCAGAGACGAUAAAACAUUAAUCAUGGGUUGAUAAGGAAGCCCAAUUCAAGGCAUAUCAUGAAAAGUCUUAUAAGUGAAAGACGUUAUACUUUCUUGUUCAAGAAAGUGACCGUAAUAAUACUUAUGUAGUAAAGCUUGUUCUCAAACAACACGUUAAUUAAGCUAUACUGUAUAUUGUUUACAUCCAAUCCAAUCUAACCCAAACCAAACAAUCGAAAGAAAGCACACCAAAUAAUUUUUUUAUAAUAUAUGGUUGUUCUUCGCGUAAAUUUGUUUCUAUCCAAUGUGCAAAUUGACUAAAAGUUAUAUAUAAAAAGUAUCAAUCUUCAAUAUACACAAAAAUCAUUGGUAAAAAAUGUAACGCAACAAAAGAAAAGCCAAAAUGACCAUAAUAUUGCCGGUCAACUAGCCAACUAUACUAAACUAAUCUGUUGUGUUCUCAUAAUAUGUUAUGAAUGAGUUGAAUUAUAAAAAUAAAAAUUACUCAACUAAAUUUUGUUAAGUUUUUUAGUUCUUAAUAUUUUCUUUGCUAUCUUGUUAUAAAUAAUUAUUUUUUCCAUUUAGUACACUAGUAUUUAAAAACGUUUUCUUCUUAACGCUCAGACGGUAGUUAAAAAGUUCAGACGAUAAUUAAUUUUUCCCCAAAACUUUAAAAACAAAUCUUAUAAUUUAAAUUUUUAUUUUAGUUUUCAGGAAUUAAAGUAACAAAUUUUCGGAUAAAAAUUUAAAAUUAUAAAAAAAUUCUUUUGAAUAAAGAUAAACUGGUUUAAAUUUUGGAAAAAAUUAAAGUUGGUAUAAAUAUAAAAUUACAAUUAUAAUGUUUAAGGUUUUCCACAAUUUAGUUACUUUUAUUAUUAUAGCUUAAAAUAAAAUUAAAAAUUUUACGGAUUAUGUUUUUUUGUGUGUUGACACUUUUAAAAAUUUAUUUUGAACUUGUUAACAUUUUUUUAAUUAAAAUGAGCACAUUUUAGAUUUUAGAACAAGAAAAACAUUUGAAAUUAUUUUAUUAAAUAAAAAGAAUAAUUACUUAUAAUACUAAAAUGAGUUAUCAAAAUUUAAUUAUUAACAAGUUCACAAAAUUUAGUUGAGAUGUUUUCAUGGAAAUUUUCCUUCAAGUUAAUAUGUUUAGAGAACAAGUUAACAAAGUUUAUAUUGUUGAGAUUGUUUUGUUGAUCAUUUUACGAUUUUUAUGCAUAUGAUUUCCAUUUUAUAAAAUAAUUAUCCAACGACUAGACAAAUAUUCAGUCAACUCCUCUACUCUACCACACAUUAUAAGUUAUUAUACAUUCAUGUACAGUUGGACAAAAAUGUUUUAUUGCUUGUAACACGACUCAACGAAAGCUAUGUUAGUUAUCUCCCACACAAUAUUUUUUUUCUUUCGAUUAACCUGGGGGUAUCUCAGGCCCAUGGAGAGGUCCAGACUAAUCCCCAAGGAGAGGUGCAGCCUACAGAUAGAUCCUCUUUCCGGGUAUUCAAAUGGACCCUAAAACAUAGACCUAUAUCUGUGUUAGGUGACCAGGAUAGUUGUGACUUAGUUUCGCGCAACAGGUAGACCGAACCUGAAACGUGUUGACAUCUCAGUCCCGUCUCCUUACCACUCAACCACAAUCACCCGGUCAAUCUCCCGCACAAUGUUUGGUCAAAGAAGUAUUCCUUUGACUAUUUUAAAAUUCUAUUUUGUUGAUUUGUUAAUCUACUUUUCGCUUAAUGAUCAAUUAACAAUGGUGAUGAGUGAACGAUCGACUGAAAAAUUAUUAAAAGCUGUAAUACCCGUGCCCUAGCUACCUUUCAACAUGACAGUUAAUGACAACGUCCAUCGUUCAUGUUUGCUUGCUUUGUUUCCUUGCAAAAGAAAAUAUUUCUUGUGCACCUGUGCUGUAUCAACGGAUAUAAUUAAUAUGUAGAAAAAGUUGUUAUUACCUACAGAAAACAUUUAAAUAAACGAAAUGUCUAUAUAUUAGUCAAAUAUAAAUCAAAUGGCGGGAACGGACGGGUAGCAAGUCAUUGUGCGCAACCCUACUUGGUAAGUAUAUCAAAAAUGCCUUCGACUGUCUGUUUGAUCUCAUACUUUCCUCGUAAAUUUCUUCCUAGGUUUCCAACUCUCUACUAUUCUUUACACGUUUUGGUACGUCUCUGGUUUGGACUAUAUGUUUCCACUCAUUUCCAAUUUCUUUUUUUUUCUUCGUUCGAAAGACGUAACAGAUAUUUAGUCAACUCCUCUACUCUACCACACAUUAAAUAUAAGUUAUUAUACAUACCUGUACAGAUGGACAAAAAUGUUUUAUUGCUUGUAACACGACUCAACGAAAGCUAUGUUAGUUGUCUCCCACACAAUGUUUGAGUUGGUCAAAGAAGUAUUCCUUUGACUAUUUUAAAAUUUUAUUUUGUUGAUUUGUAAAUCUUCUCUGCGCUUAAUGAUCAAUUAACAAUGGCGAUGAGUGAACGAUCGACUGAAAAAAUUUUAAAAGCUGUAAUACCCGUGCCCUAGCUACCUUUCAACACAACUGUUAAUGACAAUGUCCAUCGUUCAUGUUUGCUUGCUUUGUUUCCUUGCAAAAGAAAAUAUUUCUUGCAUGUAUCAACAGAUAUAAUUAAUAUGCAGAAAAAGUUGUUAUGACCUAUACAAAACAUUUAAAUAAACGAAAUGUCUAUAUAUGAGUCAAAUAUGAAUCAAAUGGCAGGAACGGACGGGUAGCAAGUCAUUGUGCCCAACCCUACAGGUGGUAAGUAUACAAACAUGCCUUCGCCUGUCUAUUUGAUCUCAUACUUUCCUCGUCAUUUUCUUCCGAGGUUUCCAACUCUCUACUAUUCUUUACACGUUUUGGUAAGUCUCUGGUUUGGACCAUAUGUUUCCACUCAUUUCCAAUUUCUUUUUUUUCUUCAUUCCAGUGACUUACCACUUGAUCACUUAACAUUUUCCUAGAAACUUCGUAUCCUGUUAUAUAUAUCACUGUUAUUUCUCUCAAGUCCUACCAUUCUCAAGAAGCAAAAGAAAUAAAACAAACACACAAUAAUUUUGAGAUGUCUCCGUUGCCGUUGAAUGCUGAGCAAGUAUUGCAACAUUUUACCCAUAUCCACCCUUUAACGAAAGUUGACGGGGUUGGCACGUACAUAUGCGAUGGCUGUAAAACCUACGGCUCUGGGAGGACCUACCGUUGCGCCGCUUGCAACUACGAUCUUCACGAGUUCUGUGCCAUAUGUCCCCCUACACUCCUCAGCACUCUACAUCCACACCACGAGCUCAGGUUAGUA
rnacentral:lncRNA from 1 species